GGCUUCAUCGUUUGCUCACAUUAUUGGAUACUGGUUCGACUCAGGCCACAAGAUUUGCUGCUGCAAAGCAAAUUGGGGAUAUUGCAAAGUCACACCCUCAAGAGUUGAACUCCCAUCUAAAAAAGGUUUCCCAAUAUCUCCGAAGCAAGAACCGGGAUACAAGAGUUGCUGGCUGCUCGUGCU